GACAGAGGGUGCAAACGUUGUUCGGAAUUAUUGGGCGUAAAGGGCGCGUAGGCGGCCCGGUAAGUCAAAGGUGAAAUCCCUCGGCUCAACUGAGGAACUGCCUUUGAAACUGUCGGGCUUGAGGCCGGGAGGGGGUAGCGGAAUUCCCAGUGUAGCGGUGAAAUGCGUAGAUAUUGGGAGGAACACCGGUGGCGAAGGCGGCUACCUGGACCGGUUCUGACGCUGAUGCGCGAAAGCGUGGGUAGCAAACAGG
rnacentral:rRNA from 1 species